ensembl:lncRNA
AUGUAUUUCUUUGGCGUUUUUGCCUUUAUUGUGUUGUUUGCAUUUGAACUUGACAGACUAACUGUGUCCUACCCAAUGCAACGGCCACAUAAUGUUAAAUGCUGUUUAUGAGAUUAAUGCUGAUGUGCCUUUUGGAUGAUUUUUCCUACGUUGUACGUUGUUAUUGCGCGUACGCACGUUGUUCUCCUCGCGUGAGCGCGCAGGCGCAGAUAUAAAAGGGAGAGGUCCGCUCUGCCGCUGCUUGUUACAGAACGCUAUCUUGUAUAAUCCGUUUCGUUUUGUUUGUAGCGUUUAUCAGAAUGUUUAUUUUCCUGUUUUAUAUUCCAUCCUUGACAUGUAUGCGAAGAGUGCGAACUAUCCACAAGGAUUACCAGUUCUGUCCUUUGGGUGUUUUCUUCUCGCCCAAUCACACCAACCCGUCACACCAACUCAUUCCGUUUUCCAGGACAGUUUUGUUCAACAAAUUCUGCUGCAAAGAUGUUAGACCCUCCAUAGGAUAACAAGCAGGCUUGUUGUGCUCCUGAAAAUUAUGAAAGAAAACUAAAAAUGUAAAACUAUGCCAUCCACAUUAAUUCUGCAAGAAUCAGAUAAAUUCAAAUUUCUUUCCGAAAUAGCUGAUAUUAUUCAUCUUGAAGAGGAAUUGAAUAGACCUCAAAAGGACAUUUUCCCAGAAUGCAAAAAGCAUUUGGAGAAAGUUCGUGAUCUCGUGAAUGAGUCUGCAAAUGAUCAUGGCCUUGCUAUUUAUGCAUGCAGAGGAGUAGCAAUAACUUUAGGAAUCGCGAUUGUGUUGUUGGGAUUACCUUUUUAUUUAAUUGAUGAAGAGGUUUUUGAUAUUGUUGCUGCAGGAGGGGCAGCUGCGGCUGUAGUUACUCUAUUAUGUGCUGCUUUUAGACGAAACAGGGAAACACAUCAGAAGAAGAACUUAAAACGAUCUAUCGAAGAGGAAUUUAAGGGAUUUCAGGAUAAAAUGAACCUUAUUAUUGACAUAUUGGAAAAAAACAGUCAACGCACUGAGGAAAUAUUGAGAGACCCUUCACUAUCAGACCACAUUGCCCAGGCAUUAAGUGAACAUUUUGCCUACUGCUUUGAAAAGAGGCACGUCUUCCAGGAACAUGACAGGAGUAAAGUGGGUGACCAGAUGUCUAAAAUUGUGCAUUUGUCUGGAAACAUUUCAGAAAUGAUCGCCAAGAUUAGUUCUGUGCCUGAUAUCCUCAAAGAGAUUAUCGAAGACAACAAGAAGCACCGUGGAAAACCUGCAAAACCCAGACAAGAACUAAUAAAUAAAAGAGAGUUUAAGGAGAAAGUAGAUAAAUUCAUUAAUGAUAUGCAGAAAGGAAUAUGUAUGAUAAAAAAUAGAGUGAAAGAUAUCAACCAAUCAAUAGACAGUAUAUCAGAUAUUUUGAGUUGAACCUGACAAAAUUAAAAAGUAUGAACUGCUGAGACAGAACUUGUUCUUGGAUCCACCUGACAGAGAACAACACAAACAGUGACCGAUAUUACAUUGGCAGUGUUGAAUAAUUUCAGUGUUUCAUUGUCCUACAACAAUUAAUGUUAACAUUGUCAAAAGUUAGAAAUAUAUAUAUGUUUUUUUUUUUUUUUUUUUUUUUUUUUUUCCCAGAGUGUUUUGUUUGUGCUCUGCAUUAUUGAUAAAUAGUGGAUGUUGUUAUUUUGUGUAUAUUUUGUACUUUACAUUUAUCACUUUUUUUUUUUUUUUUACAACAAAACCUGUAAUAAAAUGCACACACAAAAAUGUAUUGGAAU